AUGAAAGGGAAAAAUCACAAGUUAGAGAUAGUGAUGACCUCUGUGAUUGAAGACAAACUUGUUUGGAUUCUUUACAUUGUUGUUGCAAUUCUUAAGAUCACGGUUAUCAAAUUGACCUGCCAUGGCCGCUACGGCGGAUAUUCAUGGCGGUUUUGGGCUCGCCGCAAUGGUAAAUAUAGGCCGCCAUUGGGAGUUUUUCCGCCAUAA